rnacentral:rRNA from 1 species
UACAGAGGGGGCAAGCGUUGUUCGGAAUUACUGGGCGUAAAGGGCGCGUAGGCGGCCUGCUAAGUCGAACGUGAAAUCCCCGGGCUCAACCCGGGGAACUGCGUCCGAUACUGGAGGGCUUGAGUGUGGGAGAGGGAUGCGGAAUUCCAGGUGUAGCGGUGAAAUGCGUAGAUAUCUGGAGGAACACCGGUGGCGAAGGCGGCAUCCUGGACCAUGACUGACGCUGAGGAGCGAAAGCCAGGGGAGCAAACGGG